rnacentral:lncRNA from 1 species
AUUAAAAUAGUUGGACCACACCUGUAUCAAUAGGUCAUGUUGAUAUUUUAAUAGUAUUGAUAUAUUUCUUUGUAUAAAUAAUUAUUGAACGAAGUUGUCAUGGUCUGGGAUGGCAAUCUAGUGCAUUUUCUAUGUGGUCUACAAGUCCAGUUCACCCUAGACUUAACCAGAGAUCAUAUUCACAGUGAGAUUCAAAGGUUAAACAUUAGUUUUGGACUU